rnacentral:rRNA from 1 species
AUUGAACGCUGGCGGCAUGCCUUACACAUGCAAGUCGAACGGCAGCACGGGAGCUUGCUCCUGGUGGCGAGUGGCGAACGGGUGAGUAAUGCAUCGGAACGUGCCCUGAAGUGGGGGGAUAACGUAGCGAAAGUUACGCUAAUACCGCAUAUUCCUGUGAGCAGGAAAGCAGGGGAUCUUCGGACCUUGCGCUUUUGGAGCGGUCGAUGUCGGAUUAGCUAGUGGUGGGUAAAGGCCCACCAAGGCGACGAUCCGUAGCGGGUCUGAGAGGAUGAUCCGCCACACUGGAACUGAGACACGGUCCAGACUCCUACGGAGGCAGCCAGUGGGGAAUUUUGGACAAUGGGCGCAAGCCUGAUCCAGCCAUGCCGCG